rnacentral:misc_RNA from 1 species
UUGCGAUAAGUAAUGUGAAUUGCAGAAUUACGUGAAUCAUCGAAUCUUUGAACGCAUAUUGCACUCUCUGGUAAUCCGGGGAGUAUGCCUGUUUGAGGGUCAGUAAAUAAUAAAUUAUCACAAUCGUUGGUUGUGGAAUUGGGCUCUUAUUUCGAAUAGAUUUAUGGCCUUAAAUUUACGUUAUGUGCUUAAUUCGAACCAAACGGAGCAAUUAAACAUUCUCUCGUUAGACGGAUUACUCACAAGCCAUUACGAUUUUUUGGACGACAAAAAGCACUUUCACGAGCGCGAAGCCCAAGAUCGUAAAUUCAUCCUGACAAAUGACCUCAAAUCAGGCAAGAAUACCCGCUGAACUUAA